UGUAAAGUGCCUGAAAAAUAGGGCUAUCUUGAUGGGAUAGAAAAUGAUGAAAAUCCUUUACAG
rnacentral:tRNA from 1 species